GCCCUGUUAGUUCAGCGAACAGAACACUAAACUACGGAUUUAGGGGUCGGGGGUUUGAAUCCCUCACAGGGUA
rnacentral:tRNA from 1 species